UACGGAGGAUCCAAGCGUUGUCCGGAUUCAUUGGGUUUAAAGGGUGCGUAGGCGGAUCUUUAAGUCAGUGGUGAAAGCCUGCAGCUUAACUGUAGAAUAGCCAUUGAAACUGAAGAUCUUGAGUACAGUUGAAGUAGAUAGAAUGUAUCGUGUAGCGGUGAAAUGCUUAGAUAUGAUACAGAAUACCGAUAGCGAAGGCAAUUUGCUAAACUGUAACUGACGCUGAGGCACGAAAGCGUGGGGAGCGAACAGGAUUAGAUACCCUGGUAGUCCACGCCCUAAACGUUGAUAACUCGUUGUUAGCGAUAUACUGUUAGCGACCAAGCGAAAGCGUUAAGUUAUCCACCUGGGAAGUACGACCGCAAGGUUGAA
rnacentral:rRNA from 1 species